GCCGGUUUGGCUCAGUGGAUAGAGCGUCAGCCUGUGGACUAAAGGGUCCCGGGUUCGAUUCCCGGUCUAGGCA
rfam:Myotis lucifugus cont2.6071, whole genome shotgun sequence.